rnacentral:lncRNA from 10 species
GUGUGAUAUGGAUGAAUAUAGUUUGAAAUUAGCUGUGGGUAGACAGGGAACUGGGCUUCUGAUAGGAUUUAGUAGACAUUUGAUAUUUUGUUUGCCCAACAUCUGAACUUCCUUCCUACGUUGGGGAAUUCCUUUCCUUCUGAGUCUUGGUGGGUUGCAGAACUAACCACCAUGAUGUAAACUGAAGAUGGCUGCUCAUCAUUUCCCAGCCUUCCCUGCAGCCAGGACAUGGUCAUGUGAUCCAGGCUUCACCAGUCAGAGGCACCAUGCCAGGCUCCCAAUCCACAGAAGGAGGGAUAGCACAGGUGCAAAUAUUGGCUGCAAACCAUACCAUCUUGUGGUGAUGGCGGUGGUUUUCUUUUUUUGUUUGUUUUUUGUUUUUUGAGACAGAGUCUCACUCUGCCAUCAGGCUGGAGUACAGUAGUGCCAUCUCAGCUCACUGCAACCUCCGCCUCCCGGGUUCAAGCGAUUCUGUUGCCUCAGCUUCAAAAGUAGCUGGGAGUACAGGCGUGCACACCCAUGUCCAGCUAAUUUUUGUAUUUUUAGUAGAGACGGGGUUUCACCAUGUUGGCCAGGAUGGUCUCGAUCUCUUGACCUGGUGAUCCGCCCACCUUGGUCUCCCAAAGUGCUGGGAUUACAGGCGUGAGCCACUGUGCCCGGCCCUGACAGCAGUGGUUUUCUUACCAAAUUGUUCUGUGGAACGAUCUGAGGCAACUAGGGGGGAUUUGGCACAUGCUUUCAAGCCUGGGCACUACUAGCUUUCCCUUUAGUAAAUUUCUUUUCUGUUUAAAUCAGCCAGAGUCACUAUUGCUUGCAACUAAGAACCUUGACUAAUACUAAGUUUGGUAGCUUGUGUUAGUGCUGCAAGCAACAGACACUCUCACGUGGAAUUAGCUGAAUGGCAGUGUCAGGUCAGAGGGCAGUGGAGAUACUGUUAUUCAGGCUGGGAAGCUGUUACUCUUGUCACGCUAUGGCAAAACAUUUGGUUUGACAAACUUUUUCUGCAAAGAGCCAGAUAGUAAAUAUUUCAGAUUUUGUGGUCUAAAUGGUCUCUAUUGGAACUACCCAACUCUACUCUGGAAAGCGUCCAUGAACACUAUGUAAAUGAGUGGGUGUGGCUGUGUCCCAAUAAAAUUUAAUUUACAAAAUCAGGUGGUGGGCUGGAUGUGGCCCACAGGCCAUAGUUGAAGCCUGGUUCAAACUGCCGCCUAUUUUACACCAACCAUGAACCUGUGGAUGUUGUAGUAUCAGGAGAAACUGUAGAAAUAUAUCAGGAUGUUGGCAAGUUCAACUUCUUAGAGCCUUCAGUAAGAUCCAAAAAGAAAAAGUAAAUCUUGGGUCAAACAUGGUCCAAUGGCAAAAUGGAAGAAAAUGCAGCUUUGCUAAGAUUCCUUCUGCCUGAAGCCUGCAAUCUACAGUGAUGGAGAAUCCAAAGAUUUAGAGAGUUAUAGAAAUAGACAAGUCAAGUGCAAGACCAGGAGUUGACAAACUUUCUCUAUGAAGUGCCGAUAGUACAUAUUUCAGGCGUUGCAGGCCACGUGAGGUUUUUUUUUUUUUGAGACAGAGUUUCGCUCUUGUCACCCAGGCUGGAGUGCAGUGGC